rnacentral:rRNA from 1 species
GGGGAAUUUUGGACAAUGGGGGCAACCCUGAUCCAGCCAUGCCGCGUGAGUGAAGAAGGCCUUCGGGUUGUAAAGCUCUUUCGGCCGGAACGAAAUCGUGCGAGUGAACAACCCGCGUGGAUGACGGUACCGGAAGAAGAAGCACCGGCUAACUCUGUGCCAGCAGCCGCGGUAAUACAGAGGGUGCGAGCGUUGUUCGGAAUUACUGGGCGUAAAGCGCGCGCAGGCGGUCCUUUAAGUCUACCCGUGAAAUGCCGGAGCUCAACUCCGUGCACGCCGGGGGAUACUGGAGGACUGGAGACGAGUAGAGGCAAGCGGAAUUCCGGGUGUAGCGGUGGAAUGCGUAGAGAUCCGGAAGAACACCGGAGGCGAAGGCGGCUUGCUGGGCUUGGUCUGACGCUGAGGCGCGAAAGCGUGGGGAGCGA